AUGAACGCUGGCGGCGUGCCUAAUACAUGCAAGUCGAGCGAACAGACGAGGAGCUUGCUCCUCUGACGUUAGCGGCGGACGGGUGAGUAACACGUGGAUAACCUACCUAUAAGACUGGGAUAACUUCGGGAAACCGGAGCUAUUACCGGAUAAUAUAUUGAACCGCAUGGUUCAAUAGUGAAAGACGGUUUUGCUGUCACUUAUAGAUGGAUCCGCGCCGCAUUAGCUAGUUGGUAAGGUAACGGCUUACCAAGGCAACGAUGCGUAGCCGACCUGAGAGGGUGAUCGGCCACACUGGAACUGAGACACGGUCCAGACUCCUACGGGAGGCAGCAGUAGGGAAUCUUCCGCAAUGGGCGAAAGCCUGACGGAGCAACGCCGCGUGAGUGAUGAAGGUCUUCGGAUCGUAAAACUCUGUUAUUAGGGAAGAACAAAUGUGUAAGUAACUAUGCACGUCUUGACGGUACCUAAUCAGAAAGCCACGGCUAACUACGUG
rnacentral:rRNA from 1 species